rnacentral:rRNA from 1 species
UACGGGGGGAGCAAGCGUUGUUCGGAUUUACUGGGCGUAAAGGGCGCGUAGGCGGUCAGCACAAGUCAGUUGUGAAAUCUCCGGGCUUAACUCGGAAAGGUCAACUGAUACUGUGCGACUAGAGUGCAGAAGGGGCAACUGGAAUUCUCGGUGUAGCGGUGAAAUGCGUAGAUAUCGAGAGGAACACCUGCGGCGAAGGCGGGUUGCUGGGCUGACACUGACGCUGAUGCGCGAGAGCCAGGGGAGCGAACGGG